rnacentral:rRNA from 1 species
CCUACGGGUGGCAGCAGUGAGGAAUAUUGGUCAAUGGACGCAAGUCUGAACCAGCCAUGUCGCGUGCAGGAAGACGGCCCUAUGAGUUGUAAACUGCUUUUGCACGAGGGUAAACGCAUAUACGCGUAUCUGUCUGCAAGUAUCGUACGAAUAAGGACCGGCUAAUUCCGUGCCAGCAGCCGCGGUAAUACGGAGGACUCAAGCGUUAUCCGGAUUUAUUGGGUUUAAAGGGUGCGUAGGCGGUCGGAUAAGUUAGAGGUGAAAUCCCGAGGCUCAACCUCGGAAUGGCCUCUGAUACUGUUCGGCUUGAGAGUAGAAGCGGUAGGCGGAAUGUGUGGUGUAGCGGUGAAAUGCUUAGAGAUCA